rnacentral:rRNA from 1 species
GAUGAACGCUAGCGGCAGGCUUAACACAUGCAAGUCGAGGGGUAUAGGUUUUCGGACCUAGAGACCGGCGCACGGGUGCGUAACGCGUAUGCAAUCUACCUUUUACAGAGAGAUAGCCCAGAGAAAUUUGGAUUAAUACCUCAUAGUAUUAUUUAAUGGCAUCAUUUAAUAAUUAAAGUUCCAACGGUAAAAGAUGAGCAUGCGUCCCAUUAGCUAGAUGGUAAGGUAACGGCUUACCAUGGCGACGAUGGGUAGGGGUCCUGAGAGGGAGAUCCCCCACACUGGUACUGAGACACGGACCAGACUCCUACGGGAGGCAGCAGUGAGGAAUAUUGGUCAAUGGGCGCAAGCCUGAACCAGCCAUGCCGCGUGCAGGAUGACGGUCCUAUGGAUUGUAAACUGCUUUUGUACAGGAAGAAACACUGGUUCGUGAACCAGCUUGACGGUACUGUAAGAAUAAGGAUCGGCUAACUCCGUGCCAGCCGCCGCCGUAAGAC